GAGUUUGAUCUUGGCUCAGGGUGAACGCUGGCGGCGUGCCUAAUACAUGCAAGUCGAGCGAACAGACGAGGAGCUUGCUCCUCUGACGUUAGCGGCGGACGGGUGAGUAACACGUGGAUAACCUACCUAUAAGACUGGGAUAACUUCGGGAAACCGGAGCUAAUACCGGAUAAUAUAUUGAACCGCAUGGUUCAAUAGUGAAAGACGGUUUUGCUGUCACUUAUAGAUGGAUCCGCGCCGCAUUAGCUAGUUGGUAAGGUAACGGCUUACCAAGGCAACGAUGCGUAGCCGACCUGAGAGGGUGAUCGGCCACACUGGAACUGAGACACGGUCCAGACUCCUACGGGAGGCAGCAGUAGGGAAUCUUCCGCAAUGGGCGAAAGCCUGACGGAGCAACGCCGCGUGAGUGAUGAAGGUCUUCGGAUCGUAAAAC
rnacentral:rRNA from 1 species